UCCCAUAUUGUCUAGUGGUUAGGAUACCUGGCUCUCACCCAGGAGGCCCGGGUUCAAUUCACGGUAUGGGAA
rnacentral:tRNA from 1 species